rnacentral:rRNA from 1 species
GAGUUUGAUCAUGGCUCAGAUUGAACGCUGGCGGCAUGCCUUACACAUGCAAGUCGAACGGCAGCACGGGAGCUUGCUCCUGGUGGCGAGUGGCGAACGGGUGAGUAAUGCAUCGGAACGUAUCCUGGAGUGGGGGAUAACGUAGCGAAAGUUACGCUAAUACCGCAUAUUCUGUGAGCAGGAAAGCGGGGGACCUUCGGGCCUCGCGCUCUUGGAGCGGCCGAUGUCGGAUUAGCUAGUUGGUGAGGUAAAGGCUCACCAAGGCGACGAUCCGUAGCAGGUCUGAGAGGAUGAUCUGCCACACUGGAACUGAGACACGGUCCAGACUCCUACGGGAGGCAGCAGUGGGGAAUUUUGGACAAUGGGGGCAACCCUGAUCCAGCCAUGCCGCGUGAGUGCAGAAGGCCUCGGUUGUAAG